UGAGGAAUUUUGCGCAAUGGGAGCAAUCCUGACGCAGCAACGCCGCGUGGGUGAUGAAGGCCUUCGGUCGUAAAGCCCUGUCAGGUGGGAAGAAUGUCCCGGGACUGAACAGGUUUCGGGAGUGACGGUACCACCAGAGGAAGCACCGGCUAACUCCGUGCC
rnacentral:rRNA from 1 species